UACAGGCGUGAGCCACUGCACCUGGCCUUCAGGCUUCCUAAUAUGUCCACAACCUGCUUUUCCCAUCGAAUCUCCCAUUAUUCUUUUAAACAUGCAACUAUGAUUUAUUCUCUGUCAUCCAAACGUUUUGCUUUCAUGACAUUGCUUUCUCGGUUCAUCCUAAAUGGGUUGCUUUGUGGCUGUGCCUACUUCAAACACCAAUUUAAUGCAGUUGGGCCAGGCACGGUGGCUCAUGCCUGUAAUCCCAGCACUUUGGGAGGCCAAGGAGGGCGGAUCACAAGGUCAGGAGUUCGAGACCAGCCUGACCAACAUGUUGAAACUCAGUCUCUACUAAAAAUACAAAAAUUAGCUGGGCAUGGUGGCAGGUGCCUGUAAUCCCAGCUAGUCGGGAGGCUGAGGCAGAAGAAUUGCUUGAACCCGGGAGGCAGAGGUUGCAGUGAGGCCAGAUUGCACCACUGCACUCCAGCCUGGGUUGACAGAGCAAGACUCCGUCUCGAAAAAAAAAAAAAUUAAUUCACUUCUUCCAGAGUGCACUUUUAUGUGCAAUUUAAUGCACUCCCCACCACCAGUAAUGCCCCUUUUCUAAACUCACCCAGUCAUAUAUUGCCCAGUGAUACUGAUUUUUAUUGCAGUUUUACUAUUGAACUCCUGUAUUUUGAUUUCUAUCUUCAGGUGCUUAUGUCUUGUGUAAUGGAUAUAUUUCAUGUACUUCCUCAGAUUUCCUUCACUUUGUUUGCUUUCUGUACCCAUAAUCACUUGCUCUUUUUGGGGCUCACCAGUUGCAUUUCCGGAAUCUCUGGCUUCUCCUGCCACUUCUGAACAAUGCAGGAGCUGACUUCUCAGAGGCUGCUAGGGCCUCGGAUGGUUUCUCCAGUGUGUCUGGAGACAGGCAAGACUGAGGGAGUGUGCCUGCUGAAAAAGCUGCUGUGUCUCUUGUGGCUCAUUUUCAAGGAGGGGACAGCAAGGUAACACAUCACCAUGUAUUACUUCACAUCCUUCUCUACCUAACUUCCUUCCAGCUUUCUUCACUCUGGCUGUCCUGAAUUUGUACCUCCCAAAUAAAGCAUCGGCACUUAAUCUUUACCUCGA